rnacentral:rRNA from 1 species
CACGUGGGCGGGGUAUUUAAGUCAGGGGUGAAAUCCCAGAGCUCAACUCUGGAACUGCCUUUGAUACUGGGUACCUAGAGUAUGGAAGAGGUGAGUGGAAUUCCGAGUGUAGAGGUGAAAUUCGUAGAUAUUCGGAGGAACACCAGUGGCGAAGGCGGCUCACUGGUCCAUUACUGACGCUGAGGUGCGAAAGCGUGGGGAGCAAACA